rnacentral:rRNA from 1 species
CAAGUCUUUAAGAGCAAACGGUGGAUGCCUUGGCAUCUGGAGCCGAAGAAGGACGUAGCAAUCUGCGAUAAGCCUCGGGGAGUGGAUAAGCACACUUUGAUCCGAGGGUCUCCGAAUGGGGAAACCCCGCUGGGCGGCGUGCCGACCCGGUGACUCCCGCCUGAAUAUAUAGGGCGGGUAGAGGGAACGUGGGGAAGUGAAACAUCUCAGUACCCACAGGAAGAGAAAGCAACCGCGAUUCCGUUAGUAGUGGCGAGCGAAACCGGAACAGGCUAAACCGAGUACGUGUGAUAUCCGGCAGGAGUUGCGUAUUCGGGGUUGUGGGACUUUUCAGGCUGCUCUGCCGAGCAGCCGGCGUUACAAGAAGGUAUAGACGAACUGGAUUGAAAGCCAGGUCAUAGAGGGUGCCAACCCCGUAGUCGAAAUGCCUCCCUUGACGCGAAGAGUAUCCCAAGUAGCACGGGGCCCGAGAAAUCCCGUGUGAAUCUGUCAGGACCACCUGAUAAGCCUAAAUACUCCCAGAUGACCGAUAGCGGACAAGUACCGUGAGGGAAAGGUGAAAAGUACCCCGGGAGGGGAGUGAAAUAGUACCUGAAACCGUUUGCUUACAAACCGUUGGAGCAGCCCUAGCAGCUGUGACAGCGUGCCUUUUGAAGAAUGAGCCUGCGAGUUAGUGAUACGUGGCGAGGUUAACCCGUGAGGGGUAGCCGUAGCGAAAGCGAGUCUGAAUAGGGCGAUUUAGUUAGUUUGAGUAGACGCGAAACCGUGUGAUCUACCCUUGGGCAGGUUGAAGCUUUGUUAACCCAAAGUGGAGGACCGAACCCGUUGACGUUGAAAAGUCUUGGGAUGACCUGAGGGUAGGGGUGAAAGGCCAAUCAAACUCGGAAAUAGCUCGUACUCCCCGAAAUGCAUUUAGGUGCAGCGUUGAUUUAUAGUUUUAUAGAGGUAGAGCUACUGAUUGGAUGCGGGGGCUUCACCGCCUACCAAUUCCUGACAAACUCCGAAUGCUAUAAAAUGUUAAUCAGCAGUGAGGGCAUGGGUGCUAAGGUCCAUGUCCGAGAGGGAAACAACCCAGACCAUCAGCUAAGGUCCCCAAAUGUAUGUUAAGUUGUAAAAACGCGGUUGAACUGCUUAGACAGCUAGGAUGUUGGCUUGGAAGCAGCCAUUCAUUUAAAGAGUGCGUAACAGCUCACUAGUCGAGCGGUUCGGCAUGGAUAAUAAUCGGGCAUAAACAUACUACCGAAGCUAUGGGAUCCUGCAAGAGCAGUGAUCGGUAGGGGAGCAUUCUAAUUGUGUUGAAGGUGUGCUGUGAGGCAUGCUGGAACGGUUAGAAAAGAAAAUGUAGGCAUAAGUAACGAUAAUGCGGGCGAGAAACCCGCACACCGAAAGACCAAGGUUUCCUCAGCUAUGCUAAUCAGCUGAGGGUUAGUCAGGACCUAACGCGAACCCGAACGGGGUAGUGGAUGGACAACGGGUUAAUAUUCCCGUACCUGCUCACGCUAAAAGUGACGGAUUCGAAAAGUUGGUGCGCACAGACGGAAUUGUGCGUUGAAGGGAAGGGUAACCUCCCGAUAGUACACUAAGGCUACGGCUGCGGUGAUAAUCCAGCAAAUCGAGUUCCAAGAAAAGCAAGUGAAGCAGCCUGUACCGUAAACCGACACAGGUGGUUGGGAUGAGAAUUCUAAGGUGCUCGAGAGAUUCAUGGCUAAGGAACUAGGCAAAAUCGACCCGUAACUUCGGGAGAAGGGUCGCCCUCCAAUGGAGGGCCGCAGUGAAGAGGUCCAGGCGACUGUUUAUCAAAAACACAGGGCUCUGCUAAAUGGAAACAUGAAGUAUAGGGCCUGACACCUGCCCGGUGCCGGAAGGUUAAGAGGAGAGUUUAGCUUCGGCGAAGAUUUGAAUUGAAGCCCCGGUAAACGGCGGCCGUAACAAUAACGGUCCUAAGGUAGCGAAAUUCCUUGUCGGGUAAGUUCCGACCUGCACGAAUGGAGUAACGACUUCCCCGCUGUCUCAACCAUGAACUCGGCGAAAUUGCAUUACGAGUAAAGAUGCUCGUUACGCGCAGAAGGACGG